CCAACGGCUCUUUUAAGAGCCACCCAAGUUCUCUUAAAAGGGCUG
rfam:Phoenicopterus ruber ruber contig28639, whole genome shotgun sequence.